rnacentral:rRNA from 1 species
GGCUCAGGACGAACGCUGGCGGCGUGCUUAACACAUGCAAGUCGAACGGAAAGGCCCUUCGGGGUACUCGAGUGGCGAACGGGUGAGUAACACGUGGGUGAUCUGCCCUGCACUUUGGGAUAAGCCUGGGAAACUGGGUCUAAUACCGAAUAUGACCACGCUCUUCAUGGGGUGUGGUGGAAAGCUUUUGCGGUGUGGGAUGGGCCCGCGGCCUAUCAGCUUGUUGGUGGGGUAAUGGCCUACCAAGGCGACGACGGGUAGCCGGCCUGAGAGGGUGACCGGCCACACUGGGACUGAGAUACGGCCCAGACUCCUACGGGAGGCAGCAGUGGGGAAUAUUGCACAAUGGGCGCAAGCCUGAUGCAGCGACGCCGCGUGAGGGAUGACGGCCUUCGGGUUGUAAACCUCUUUCACCAGGGACGAAGCGCAAGUGACGGUACCUGGAGAAGAAGCACCGGCCAACUACGUGCCAGCAGCCGCGGUAAUACGUAGGGUGCGAGCGUUGUCCGGAAUUACUGGGCGUAAAGAGCUCGUAGGUGGUUUGUCGCGUUGUUCGUGAAAACUCACAGCUUAACUGUGGGCGUGCGGGCGAUACGGGCAGACUAGAGUACUGCAGGGGAGACUGGAAUUCCUGGUGUAGCGGUGGAAUGCGCAGAUAUCAGGAGGAACACCGGUGGCGAAGGCGGGUCUCUGGGCAGUAACUGACGCUGAGGAGCGAAAGCGUGGGGAGCGAACAGGAUUAGAUACCCUGGUAGUCCACGCCGUAAACGGUGGGUACUAGGUGUGGGUUCCUUCCUUGGGAUCCGUGCCGUAGCUAACGCAUUAAGUACCCC